GACGUAGGAGGCGAGCGUUGUCCGGAUUUACUGGGCGUAAAGCGCGCGCAGGCGGUCGCGCAGGUCAUCUGUGAAAGCCCCCGGCUCAACCGGGCGGAUGCGGGUGAAACCGCGCGACUGGAGGGUGGGAGAGGUCGGCGGAAUUCCCGGUGUAGUGGUGAAAUGCGUAGAUAUCGGGAGGAACACCCGUAGCGAAGGCGGCCGCUGGACCACACCUGACGCUGAGGCGCGAAGGCCGG
rnacentral:rRNA from 1 species